rfam:Danio rerio chromosome 4, GRCz11 reference primary assembly.
GUUUCUGUAGUGUAGUGGUCAUCACGAUUGCCUUACACGCGAAAGGUCCUCGGUUCGAAACCGAGCAGAAACA